GACAGAGGGGGCAAGCGUUGCUCGGAAUUACUGGGCGUAAAGGGCGCGUAGGCGGGAUGGCAAGUCGGUCGUGAAAUCCUUCGGCUCAACCGAAGAACGUCGAUCGAUACUGCUGUUCUUGAGGGUUGCAGAGGAGACUGGAAUUCCCGGUGUAGCGGUGAAAUGUGUAGAGAUCGGGAGGAACACCGGUGGCGAAGGCGGGUCUCUGGGCAAUUCCUGACGCUGAGGCGCGAAGGUCAGGGGAGCAAACGGG
rnacentral:rRNA from 1 species